rnacentral:rRNA from 1 species
CCUACGGGUGGCAGCAGUGAGGAAUAUUGGUCAAUGGACGAGAGUCUGAACCAGCCAAGUAGCGUGCAGGAUGACUGCCCUAUGGGUUGUAAACUUCUUUUAUAUGGGAAUAAAAUGUUCCACGUGUGGGAUUUUGUAUGUACCAUAUGAAUAAGGAUCGGCUAACUCCUUGCCAGCAGCCGCGGUAAUACGGAGGAUCCGAGCGUUAUCCGGAUUUAUUGGGUUUAAAGGGAGCGUAGGUGGAUUGUUAAGUCAGUUGUGAAAGUUUGCGGCUCAACCGUAAAAUUGCAGUUGAAACUGGCAGUCUUGAGUACAGUAGAGGUGGGUGGAAUUCGUGGUGUAGCGGUGAAAUGCUUAGAUAUCACGAAGAACUCCGAUUGCGAAGGCAGUUCACUGGACUGCAACUGACACUGAGGCUCGAAAGUGUGGGUAUCAAACAGGAUUAGAUACCCUUGUAGUC